UAGUGUAGAUAAUAUCGUUUGUAUAUGUGUGUGUAUAUAUAUAUAAUUUAGCUUGAAAGCCUUACACGUAGAGAGAGAGCAAAACGUGUGAGGGACUCUGACAUGUGACCAAAGCCACAAAGCUAGUCGGUGCUGUAAGCCUAUAACUGCCAACUGGGUGUCGUCCCCAUCUCUCUCUCUCUCUCUCUCUCUCUCUCUCUCUCUCUGCGUAUCUAUAUGCGAACUUUCUCCAUAUCUUCUUUCUUUUUAAGCCGCUUCGACUCUCCUGCGAUUUUAAAGAGAGAACAAGUAAGCAGCUUCAUUUAACCUGCAUCUUCCAUCGAUCGAAAUAUAUAUUUAUAUAUUGUUUUAUUUUGAUGAUCAUGUCUAAGAUGAGGAAAAUGAGGAAAACCCUACGAACCAAGUUGAGAUCUGCGUUCUUCAAGCCAAGAAGAGAAAAAGACAAUGUCGGCGGCAAUGGCUUCUCCAGCAAGUCAAGCGUGAACGAAGAAUACAUGGAAGUUUUCAGAACAAAGUCGUACGUAGAAAUGUGGGAUAGGGUUCACGAACAGCUGCUGAGCACUAGUGCUAAGCUUCAAUCUUAAAAGUGGUCAUGUGCAUUAAGCUUCAAUCUUAAGUACAUUUUAGACCAAAAUCAUGCAGUUUAAUAACCAAUGCUAAUGAAGUACAACAUGAAUUAUAGGGCAUUAUGAUUU